rnacentral:snRNA from 1 species
GUGCUCACUUCGGCAGCACAGAUACUAAAACUGGAACGACGCAGAGAAGAUUACCAUGGCCCCUGCGCAAGGAUAACAUGCAAAUUGGUGAAGCGUUUUUAAAAAAA